rnacentral:rRNA from 1 species
AGUGAACGCUGGCGGUAGGCCUAACACAUGCCAGUCGAACGGCAGCACAGUAAGAGCUUGCUCUUACGGGUGGCGAGUGGCGGACGGGUGAGGAAUACAUCGGAAUCUACUUUUUCGUGGGGGAUAACGUAGGGAAACUUACGCUAAUACCGCAUACGACCUACGGGUGAAAGCAGGGGAUCUUCGGACCUUGCGCGAUUGAAUGAGCCGAUGUCGGAUUAGCUAGUUGGCGGGGUAAAGGCCCACCAAGGCGACGAUCCGUAGCUGGUCUGAGAGGAUGAUCAGCCACACUGGAACUGAGACACGGUCCAGACUCCUACGGGAGGCAGCAGUGGGGAAUAUUGGACAAUGGGCGCAAGCCUGAUCCAGCCAUACCGCGUGGGUGAAGAAGGCCUUCGGGUUGUAAAGCCCUUUUGUUGGGAAAGAAAAGCAGCAGGUUAAUACCCCGCUGUUCUGACGGUACCCAAAGAAUAAGCACCCGCUAACUUCGUG